UUUGGUAUGAUCCAGCACUUCAAAACAAUUAAAAAUUUGUCAAUUCCUCUUUUUUAUUUUCGCCACUCAAAUUAAAUUGUAUUUUUUUCCAACCUGUGUCAUCGGGCUUCUUACCACGCCUAACGGUUCUUCAUCAAAAUUCUAACAUCGAAACCAGUGGAUAUUCUACAUUUUAAUACUUUUUGUUCCGUUGAUUAAUUACUAAAAAACUUUUAAAUGUUAAAUAAAACAUAUAUGAUGAACAGAAAAAAAGAACAAAAUCAAAGGUGUAUUCUAUAAUUAAGGAGUUAAUGAAUUUUGUCCAAGUGGCUAACUGUUAUAUGUGAACACGCUAAAGAAGUAAUUGGUCCGCAAAACACCGGCUGAAAUGUAUCAUCGACUGUGAUAUACCUGAUGUGAUAUCCUUCGAGGAAGAAUGCAACUCCGUACAAGAUUCGAUCGAUGAAAAAUAGAAUUCUCUGCCCGUCAUCAUGUUCACGAGGGCCAAGAUGCCGGUGACUGGUGAUGGGACUUUUAUUAACCGCGGUGUAACGAGAAAUGUGACAUGUUGUCGUUAAGCAACAAUGAGCAUCGGGGAGCACGCAUCAGCGAAAAAAUCAUCGUAAAUACUCAAAAUGAUUUCUCUCUGUUUGGCUACACAUUGCGGCGUGCUUGAGUAUGCUUGCUUGAUCAUCCCAGAGCAUAUUAGCAUCGAUGAUGGCAACGGCAGCCUGGAUACUGGUAUGGAUCAUAUGGCCGGUAA